rnacentral:rRNA from 1 species
GACGAACGCUGGCGGCGUGCUUAACACAUGCAAGUCGAACGGAAAGGCCCUGCUUUUGUGGGGUGCGCGAGUGGCGAACGGGUGAGUAACACGUGAGUAACCUGCCCUUGACUUUGGGAUAACUUCAGGAAACUGGGGCUAAUACCGGAUAGGAGCUCCUGCUGCACGGUGGGGGUUGGAAAGUUUCGGCGGUUGGGGAUGGACUCGCGGUUUAUCAGCUUGUUGGCGGGGUAGUGGCUUACCACGGCUUUGACGGGUAGCCGGACUGAGAGGGUGACCGGCCACAUUGGGACUGAGAUACGGCCCAGACUCCUACUGGAGGCAGCAGUGGGGAAUAUUGCACAAUGGGCGGAAGCCUGAUGCAGCAACGCCGCGUGCGGGAUGACGGCCUUCGGGUUGUAACCCGCUUUCGCCUGUGACGAAGCGUGAGUGACGGUAAUGGGUAAAGAAGCACCGGCUAACUACGUG